rnacentral:rRNA from 1 species
GACGAACCGUGCGAACGUUGUUCGGAUUCACUGGGCUUAAAGGGCGCGUAGGCGGCUCCGCCAGUCCGGGGUGAAAGCCCCCAGCUCAACUGGGGAAGUGCCUCGGAUACUGCGGGGCUCGAGCGGGGUAGGGGCAGCUGGAACUUCCGGUGGAGCGGUGAAAUGCGUAGAUAUCGGAAGGAACGCCGGUGGCGAAAGCGAGCUGCUGGACCCCCCCUGACGCUGAGGCGCGAAAGCCAGGGGAGCGAACGGG